rnacentral:rRNA from 1 species
CCUCGUUGAUCCUGCCAGUAGUCAAAUGCUUGUCAAAGAUGAAGCCAUGCAUGUCUAAAUAUUAACUAGUUCAAAUUGUGAAACUGUGAAUGGCUCAUUAAAUCAGUUAUAUUUUUUUUGAUGGCACUAUACUACUCGGAUAACCAUAGUAAUUCUAGAUGUAAUACGUGCACCAAGUCCUUACUCUUUGGAAGGGAUGAAUUUUUUAUAUAAAAGGCCAGCAUGGACUUGCCCGCCUCUCCGAUGAAUCAUGAUAACUCGACGGAUCGCAUAGCCCUUGUGUUGGCGAUGCUUCAUUCAAAUUUCUACCCUAUCAACUUUCGAUAUAAGGAUAGAGGCCUACCAUUCUAGUGAUGGGUAAUGAAUAAUUAGGGUUCGAUUCUAGAGAGGGAGCUUGAGAAAUGGUUACCACAUCCAAGGAAGGUAGCAGGUGCACAAAUUACCCAAUCUUGACAUGGGGAGGUAGUGACAAUAAAUAACAAUACUGGGCUCAUUGAGUCUGGUAAUUGGAAUGGGUACAAUUCAAAUCCCUUAAUCAGGAUCCAUUGGAGGGAAAGUCUGGUGCCACUUGCCACGGUAAUUCUAGCUCCAAUAGCAUAUAUUUAAGUUGUUGCAGUUAAAAAGCUUGUAGUUGGAUCUUGGGUUGUAAAGGUGGGUCCACCUACUCAGUGUGCACCUACCCUUUCGUCCCUUUUGUUGGCAGUGUGCUCCAGCCUUAAUUGGCCAGGUCGUGGCUCCAAUGUUGUUAGUUUAAAAAAAUUAAAUUGCUCAAAGAAAUCUUAUUCUUUUAAUACAUAACGUGGUAGGAGUCUAGUCUAAUUGUGUUGGCCUUUGAGACCAAGUUAAUGAAUAAUAGGGAUCGUCGAGGCAUUCAAAUUUCAUUGUUAGAGGUGAAAUUAUUGGAUUUAUUAAAUACGGACCUCAGCCUGCUAACUAGCUACACAUAGGUUCCCCUUCGUGGCCAGAUUCUUAGAGGGACUAUGGCCAUUUAGGCCAUGGAAGUUUGAGGCAAUAACAGGUCUGUGAUGCCCUUAUAUUUUCUAGGCUGCAUGCACGCUACACUGAUGUAGCCAAUGAGUUUUUCUUCCUGGUUGGAGAGGAUCAGGAAAUCUUCUCAAAUUGCAUCAUGAUGGGGAUAGACCAUUGCAAUUAUUGGUCUUCAACAAGGAAUUCCUGGUAAGUGCAUGUCAUCAACUCAUGCUGACAACGUCCCUACCCUUUGUACACACCGAUUGUCGCACUCACCGAUUGAAUGAUCCAGUGAAGUGUUCAGAUUACAUCGAUGAUGGUGGUUCGCCUCCAUCAACGUCAUGAGAAGUUCAUUGAACCUUAUCAUUUAGAGGAAGGAGAAGUCAUAACAAGGUUACUGUAAGUGAACAUAUGGUAGGAUCAUUG